GACGAACGCUGGCGGCGUGCUUAACACUUGCAAAUCGAACGAUGAAGCCUAGCUUGCUAGGUGGAUUAGUGGCGAACGGGUGAGUAAUACGUGAGUGACCUACCUUUGACUCUGGGAUAAGCCUGGGAAACUGGGUCUAAUACCGGAUACGACCAAUCUCCGCAUGGGGUGUUGGUGGAAAGCGUUAUGGAGUGGUUUUAGAUGGGCUCACGGCCUAUCAGCUUGUUGGUGAGGUAAUGGCUUACCAAGGCGACGACGGGUAGCCGGCCUGAGAGGGUGACCGGCCACACUGGGACUGAGACACGGCCCAGACUCCUACGGGAGGCAGCAGUGGGGAAUAUUGCACAAUGGGCGCAAGCCUGAUGCAGCGACGCCGCGUGAGGGAUGACGGCCUUCGGGUUGUAAACCUCUGUUAGCAUCGAAGAAGCGAAAGUGACGGUAGGUGCAGAGAAAGCGCCGGCUAACUACGUGCCAGCAGCCGCGGUAAUACGUAGGGCGCGAGCGUUGUCCGGAAUUAUUGGGCGUAAAGAGCUUGUANGCGGUUGGUCGCGUCUGCUGUGAAGGCUGGGGCUUAACCCUGGUUUUGCAGUGGGUACGGGCUAACUAGAGUGCAGUAGGGGAGACUGGAAUUCCUGGUGUAGCGGUGGAAUGCGCAGAUAUCAGGAGGAACACCGAUGGCGAAGGCAGGUCUCUGGGCUGUAACUGACGCUGAGAAGCGAAAGCAUGGGGAGCGAACAGGAUUAGAUACCCUGGUAGUCCAUGCCGUAAACGUUGGGCACUAGGUGUGGGGGACAUUCCACGUUUUCCGCGCCGUAGCUAACGCAUUAAGUGCCCCGCCUGGGGAGUACGGCCGCAAGGCUAAAACUCAAAGAAAUUGACGGGGGCCCGCGCAAGCGGCGGAGCAUGCGGAUUAAUUCGAUGCAACGCGAAGAACCUUACCAAGGCUUGACAUAUACUGGACUGCGUCAGAGAUGGCGUUUCCCUUCGGGGCUGGUAUACAGGUGGUGCAUGGUUGUCGUCAGCUCGUGUCGUGAAAUGUUGGGUUAAGUCCCGCAACGAGCGCAACCCUCGUUCUAUGUUGCCAGCACGUGAUGGUGGGGACUCAUAGGAGACUGCCGGGGUCAACUCGGAGGAAGGUGGGGAUGACGUCAAAUCAUCAUGCCCCUUAUGUCUUGGGCUUCACGCAUGCUACAAUGGCCGGUACAGAGGGUUGCGAUACUGUGAGGUGGAGCUAAUCCCUAAAAGCCGGUCUCAGUUCGGAUUGGGGUCUGCAACUCGACCCCAUGAAGUCGGAGUCGCUAGUAAUCGCAGAUCAGCAACGCUGCGGUGAAUACGUUCCCGGGCCU
rnacentral:rRNA from 1 species